AAGUCGUAACAAGGUAUCUGUAGGUGAACCUGCUGAUGGAUCAUUAUGAAUUGAACGAGCGACCACGAGUGAGCGUAGCGAACGAGUGGUUGUGAGUCUCUACCUGUGAAUUACCAUGUUUGGGUGAAAAACUCGAGCGCCGAGACCGUAGGUCGAGGUGCGAGACAUUGAUCGAUUGCUGAUUCUAUCGGUAUCUCGAGCCACCCACUAUUACCACAAUAUCCGUCUGACUACAACAAAAGUAAAAA
rnacentral:misc_RNA from 1 species